AAAGACUCAACCAUACUAACUUUGCAGUUUAAGUAAUAAACCUGUCAUCUAUGAGUAAACGCUCAAGUAAUAAUGCUUUUAAAAAUGGUAUUUAUUAAAUGUAUUGGUUUAAUAAACGAAGCAAAAAGACAAUACAGAUGGGAGUGAGUAUUGCUUUCCAUGGGCAGAAGCCCUUUGGCUCCAAAGGAACAACAACAUAAAGGAUAAGCGGUAAGUGAUUGAGACUUGGGAGAAUGUGAUGAAAGGACAGCAUAGAAAAUGCCAGAAAGACUUGGGAGGGGCCAGAACCAUGAGAAUGACAGGAGAACAGAUGCCUCAGAUGCUUCGGAACAAGCAGGCCACAUGGGGGAGGUGGCAGGAAGGCCACAUCUGCUCAGCCAGAGCCUCCUUAUCCCCAGAGGAGGGCGAGAGGGAUGGCUGGGAACAGGCACGUAGGAGGGUCUCUGAAUGGGGUCAGGAGGGAAAGGUAGAGAUCAUUUCUAGGGAGAACCGAGAGGUGAGAAAUGGGCGCCUGCCUGGCCGCCACGAUCCAGAAAGUCCAAAACUGCUCAACCAAUUUGGACGAGGCAAGCGAGGCUGGAAGGGCUGGUGGAGAAGGCGGCUGUACCAGUCUGCCCCCCUGUGUCCGGUUUGGAGCUCAUCUCUUGGCGCCCGAUGGGCCCACCGUGGGCCCAUGUGGCUGUGCCGGGACAUGGGGAGAAGCCGCGCUGGAAGCCAGGGCAGGCGGGACAGAGCCCCGGGGGCUGUCACCAGCAAAGCUUCCACAGGGCGCCCGCAGCGUUUGCACCGCGCAGCCCAGGGCUGAGCCGGGCGCAGGCUCCAAGAAGGGCUCAGCGCACACAACUUCAAGGACACUCAAGUGCAUAUCGAUGGGGCUGCCAACGGGAGCGGCCGCUCGGGGCAGCCCAUGCUAGCCGGGACAUUGGCAUGGCCCUUGCUGGGAAGCUCGGGAAACCGCGUCAUCCGUGGCGGCGCCCCUGCGCAGUCGCCCGGAGACCGCGGCUGGGAGAUUUCCCCCUCCCCCAUCCCCACAAAGCCUGCCGUUGGAAGACGUUGGCCGCUCGCCACCCCGGCUUCCUUCCGUUAGGGUCACUGGGCCCCGGGGGUCCCGGGAGCUGCAGGACUCGAGGUUGACCAGGCGCACUCUGGCUGUGGCAGGCCCUCUGGGAGGCUGUGCAGACUUGGAGACCCAAAAUCUAGACUGUAGCUGAAGCCUUGAGCUAUAGCAGAGCCAUAUAUUCUUGUGGUGACAGUGGCCUUAGGAAAAAAAUUCUCUCUCUUGGAUGAUUAGUCAUGAGGCUGCUCUGUCAGCACAGCUCUUGAUGGAAACGGCAGAUAGGUCUGCUGUCUCAGUGAGCGCCGCAGGGUGGCAGAGACUGGAAAACUGGCUCCUUGGUUUGGAAGCGGCACUGUCUGAGACUUGGUUCUUUGGAAAUAGACAAGGUCCCAUUCCAGGAGGAUUUUCAAGUAGAAGGUGAAUGGACAUCAACUAGGGACACUGAGAAUAAGGGCUUCAUGAUACAACGUUUGGCUGUCUCUUGAUGGGGAAGGGCAAGUGUGCUCUUGUGGUCAAGUAUGGGAGAGGUGGGUUCUGUCAUGUGGAAGUUUCUUUGAAAUUGCGAAUUUCCACUCAUGGAACAAUGGUGCCAUUAUAAGCUCAGCACCAAGGAAUGUAAAUGUCGCAUUAAAACCUUCUUGAGGUAUCUGCCGUCUCACAAUAUAUAUGCUUCAAAGUGAUGCUACUGCAUUAUAAUAAAGUAUCCUUUUGAUGACAUAUGAUCUGACAGAGCAUUUAUGUGUACGAAACAUCUUUCAAAGACAACACAAAUUGAAUAAUAUUUAGUUCUAUAUGUAAUAGAUAAGGAUUUCUUCAUACUACUUGGGGCACAAAAAUGUCAUAUUGUUUAGAGCCCUCACUUGUAAAGGGACGCAGGAAGUGUUCUGUAUUAAUCACUGGAGGGUUCUUCACUAUUUAGACUGUUCCAGGACCGCAAGUCUUAACCCUGAGAAAAGAAUCAGGAGAUUGUGGGCAGCUUUAUUCUUUAGUCCAUGGGUUUGCUUUGACGAUGCCCUUGUUCGGGCCCUAAAAUUUCAAAUACAGGCAGCUUCCCCUGCGGCUCCAUUCACCCCGGGCUGGACUGGCUGCAGUGAACUUACUUCACUGCUGCUCUCAGUUGUUAUGUGCAUGGUACACAGCCUCCCCACGGAGCCAUGAUGCUUUCUCCCUUCCAAGAUGCCUCUGCCUGAGGGAUCCUGAAUGAGAGUAGAGUGAUAAUAUUAGCCACUAUCAGAAAUGGAAAUCCCAGGGGCUGGCCCAGUGGCAUAGCGGUUCACAUGCUCUGCUGCGGUGGCCUGGGGUUCGCUUGUUCAGAUCCUGGCUGCAGACCCACCUACCACUUAUCAAGCUCUGCUGUGUCAGGCGUCCUACAUAUAAAACAGAGUAAGAUGGGCACAGGUGUUAGCUCAGGGCUGAUCUUCUUCAGCAAAAAGAAGAGGAUUGGUGGCGGAUGUUAGUUCAGGGCUAAUCCUCCCCAAAAAAGAAAAAAGAAAAGAAAUGGAAAUCCCAGCUACUCCAGUGGAUCCACAAUCAUCUUUUCUUCAAGUUGGAUAGAUCAUCCUUAGAGUUUGUUUGGUCUUUGUCAUCCAAAUAUAGUGGAGAAGAAGGGGGUUCUUCAAUCUGGCUCAUCUCCGUGUGGCUUGAAACAUACAAAUGGUGUCAACUUUCAACUGUGAGCCAGAGAAAUAUGACUCAAGACAGAUGUCUAACUGCACUUCUCUAAAGAAAGGGAAACUUUCAACUUUUCUUUUCCUAAAGUACCCUGUCAUCAGUAAAAAGAAACACCUUACCCUAUCACGUACCUUACAAUGUCCAGUGUUUUUCCAUCACUAACAGUAGCUUCCACUUACUUAGCUCCUUCUAUGUCUCAAGCAAUAUUCUAGAUGAUUUAUACAUUUUUAUGCAUUUAAUACAACAAUCCUGGUAUUAUGUAUUCUCACCCUAAUUAUUACAAAUGAUGAAACUGAGGCACCGGGGACUUACCUUAUUUGCUCAGAAAUACGUGGUUAUUAGACUUCUAUUUUGUGUAGCGAAAGAAAUAUAAUUAUUAAAUUGGAAGUGUUUGGGGAAAAGCUUAAAAUUUAAUCCCUGUGUUACAAUCUUUGUGAAUUAAGGUUUUGCCGCUUACCCGUUUGGUGUGAGACUCUAAAGAUGGGGUGGGACAGAAUAUAACUUCGGUGUCAUUUCAAAAUUUUAGAUUUAGUUCUUGGCCGUGAUACGGAGGUUUUGCAAAACAUGGAGAAGACAGCUCCCCUCUUCCUCCUGCAAAGAACAGAUUUUCUAAUCCUGGUUUUGCCAUCUUGGUGAGCUUGUUGAUCAUUUUGGCCACUGCUCUCUGGCAAGACCCUUGCCUUGCCCACUGCUCUCUUAAAAACAGCGCCUUUACAGCACAUGGAACUUUAAAGAGUAGAAAUUACAGUGACGUGGCUGAUUGUGCUGACAGUUUUUGAAGAAAUUGUAUUUAAGGGAAAUGCUAAUUGCAGAGCACAGCCAACAUUUUAAGAGAAAAUAUUUAUCUAAGCUGAACCAAGGUUUGUCUUUUAUAAUGUUUAUUAUGGAGAAGGAAAAAUAUUUUCACAGCCCUUAAAAUUUCCUUAAGCAGCAACUGUUGUUCUUUAGCAAAUCUGGGGAAGCCUCAGGGAUGAGGCAGCACAUUGGCCAAAUUGGGGAGCUUUCAUAUUUCCCAGGGAAGGAAACGGAUUUGAAGAAUGCUCCGGUCCAGAAGCAGAGGUGGAAAGGUGACCUCUGCUUGCUGUGGUGUGAACAGUUGAUUCCGUUCCUGUGAUGAUUCCUGUCUGUGCCCCAGCACUGAAGUUGCCCCAGUUUAUUAAACCGAGUUGAAUGGACAUUGCUGACGGGAGUAUUAGCACCUUUGCUUGCCAUGUGGUUGAACCCGACUAAUUCAUUUAUCUGUAAAGCCCCAGAUCAAACACCACUAUUUCUUGUAGUGUUUCUUGUCUUCCCCAGACAAAAUUAACGCUCUUUGGAUUUCCCAAAACACUUGUCAUAUACCUCCAUGCCUUGAUUUAGUAGGUCCAUUUCUCUACUAAACUGAGCUUUUUGAGAGCAGAAAGUAAGUGUCAUCUCUGACGUUGCAGUACCUGGUGGCAGAUUAUGAACUAAAGUGUUGAAAUUUGUCUAAUACCAAGGAAGAUGGGAACAUAAGUGACAUCUGUCUUUGGGGGGUUUUCACUCAAGUUCCUCCAGGGCUACCCUUUAUCUCAUGCUGUGUCCCCCAAAUGCCUGUGACCAUCUGCUCUUGGAUUCUUUGUUUACUCUUGGGCAAGGCUUCUCAGACUUCCUAUGGAGGCAUCAGAAACAUCAAACACUUGCUAGCUGUACCCCUCAAGAUCUGGAGAUUUGGAGCCAGCUGAAAUUUCUUGGCAUUUCAUACUUCAUCUCAAAAAUCUAUCUACAGUUUAUGUUUCACAUGUCCUGCUACAUGUGACAAGUUUUCUCAUAAAACUUCUGGAAAAUGUACAUCAUUUCAUAGUUCCAGAGGGGGUAGUUUGAGAAGGGUGGUGCUAAGCAACCAAAACUGAUCAUGGCUCAUUGUGGGCAUCUUCCUCGUAAGGCAUCAGAUGGCACUCUGCGAGGAGGAAUUUCUGAAACCUGGAAAUGAGGGAAUUCGGAGAGUAGUAUCCAGGCAGCAAUCACUUCAUUAGUUGUAUCUUAUUCUGUGUAACAAAAUUUGUUCCCAGUAGGGAUGUUAGAAUUAGUUUGGAGCCCAAGUUUUACUCUCUUGUUAAUUGCUGAUAGAAAACAUACCUUGUAGACUACUGAAAAGAGGAAAUGAUAACAACCUAUUUAGUGUUCUCCGAAAUUCUGUACACGUUACCUAAUAAUAUCAUAAAAGAGCUUACCCAGGUUUAGAUUGAUUUGUAUGAAUUGUAAACCAGUUUGUGCUUUUCCAUAUAAACAUCUCAGGUUGGAGUAACCAUUGACUGCAUCUUAAUUUUGGACACUGACCAGUAAUAAAAAUCAAGACACAAGUUAACCAAAGACAGAACAAUAUGUGCCAUGAAGAGUAAACCAUUCCUCCUUAUAGGCACUUUCCCAAGUCACUGAUUUUCCUCCUUGGGACAGGGUCAGAAUCCUUCUGUCAAACGCUCAGAUCAACUGCAGUCAGUAUGUACUAUGUAGGCGCCAUGGGGCAGUUUCUGUGCAGCUCUCUAUGAAAGGCCUGAGGGCUUUUCCCAGAGGAAGAUGUUAAUGGCUUUCUACAAUGAUGUGUUGUUUCUUUAACUUGCCCUGAGUUGAUGGAUUUCAAAUAUACAGUUGGACACAUACACUAAUCAAGUAGUGUGGGUUCCAUUUUGCCUUGCGGUGCCCAGCGUCCAUUUGUCAACCAGUGCCCUUUUCAGGGGUUGUCCUCUGAAAGCCCCAAGUAGAACUGUGAGGUUAGCAGGUAUCCUGUGGGGCAGUUUCUUCUUCAUAUUGCUUUUACUUUGGGGAGGUAUUUCAGAGAAUUUAUGCUCCCCACCAAGUAUCAGCACUAUGCAAAAGAAAUAGGAGAAAUUUUUUUAUAUUCUUUUUUAUUUUACUCAAUAUAUCC
rnacentral:lncRNA from 1 species